CUGCUGCCUUCCGUAGGAGUCUGGGCCGUAUCUCAGUCCCAAUGUGGCCGGCCAACCUCUCAGUCCGGCUACUGAUCGUCGCCUUGGUAGGCCGUUACCCUACCAACUAGCUAAUCAGACGCGAGGCCAUCUCUCAGCGAUAAAUCUUUGGUACAGAUACCAUGCGAUACCCGUACGUUAUGCGGUAUUAGCAGUCGUUUCCAACUGUUGUCCCCCACUGAAAGGCAGGUUCCUCACGCGUUACUCACCCGUCCG
rnacentral:rRNA from 1 species